GGGGGCUCAUAGAGAUAAGCAAGAACAAAGAAUGUCUGGCACACACAGACAUUGAGGAACCAUUUGCAUAAUGGCAUCUGCUUCAGAUUUACACCCGGU
rnacentral:lncRNA from 13 species